CGCAAUGUUACUUUAGGAGUAGGCGUGGUUGUGGAUAGGGGGAAAUCAGCCUUAUCCAUUCCCAUAUAUUAUUCCUUUUGUCUUCAGUAUAUCCAAAACAUGUGUAUGUCCAGGCUUUGCAAAAUAUAGUAAUCCAUUAUCAGUCAUGACAUUAAAAUCUCAUUCUCAUGAAUUAAAUCAAAGAUUUUAAAUCAACCUCAGAAGCAACAACAUUGUUUUUUCUUCUGUAAAAUGAUUGGAG